rnacentral:rRNA from 1 species
GAUGAACGCUGGCGGCGUGCCUAAUACAUGCAAGUCGAGCGAACAGACGAGGCGCUUGCCUCUCUGACGUUAGCGGCGGACGGGUGAGUAACACGUGGAUAACCUACCUAUAAGACUGGGAUAACUUCGGGAAACCGGAGCUAAUAUAGGACAAUAUAUUGAACCGCAUGGUUCAAUAGUGAAAGACGGUUUUGCUGUCACUUAUAGAUGGAUCCGCGCCGCAUUAGCUAGUUGGUAAGGUAACGGCUUACCAAGGCAACGAUGCGUAGCCGACCUGAGAGGGUGAUCAGCCACACUGGAACUGAGACACGGUCCAGACUCCUACGGGAGGCAGCAGUAGGGAAUCUUCCACAAUGGGCGAAAGCUUGACGGAGCAACGCCGCGUGAGUGAUGAAGGUCUUCGGAUCGUAAAGCUCUGUUAGUAGGGAAGAACAAAUGUGUAAGUAACUAUGCACGUCUUGACGGUACCUAAUCAGAAAGCCACGGCUAACUACGUG